AACGAACGCUGGCGGCAGGCCUAACACAUGCAAGUCGAGCGCGCCCUUCGGGGUGAGCGGCGGACGGGGGGGUAACGCGUGGGAACGUGCCCUUCUCUGCGGAAUAGCCUCGGGAAACUGAGAUUAAUACCGCAUACGCCCUUUGGGGGAAAGAUUUAUCGGAGAAGGAUCGGCCCGCGUUGGAUUAGGUAGUUGGUGGGGUAAUGGCCCACCAAGCCGACGAUCCAUAGCUGGUUUGAGAGGAUGAUCAGCCACACUGGGACUGAGACACGGCCCAGCCUCCUACGGGAGGCAGCAGUGGGGAAUCUUAGACAAUGGGGGCAACCCUGAUCUAGCCAUGCCGCGUGAGUGAUGAAGGCCUUAGGGUUGUAAAGCUCUUUCAGCUGGGAAGAUAAUGACGGUACCAGCAGAAGAAGCCCCGGCUAACUCCGUG
rnacentral:rRNA from 1 species